rnacentral:misc_RNA from 1 species
CUGAUUUUAUUUGUCCUGUUCUUGCGUGAUUCAAUGGAAACUGUAGGAGGUUUAGGGCAAGGGAAGGUCAGGGCGUUGAUAGAGAAGGCCACAAAUUCGACGGAGGCAGAGGUGGAACCCCGCCUCCUCAAGGCCAUCAAAUCGGUGGUCCGGUAUUCUGAUUCGGAGCUCCGACUGGCGGCACAAACCCUAAUGGAUCUCAUGAAAUGCGAC